UACCAGCACCCCGAGUGGUCGGGACGUUUAUUGGGCCUAAAGCAUCCGUAGCCGGUUCUACAAGUCUUCCGUUAAAUCCAGCUGCUUAACAGAUGGGCUGCGGAAGAUACUAUGGAGCUAGGAGGCGGGAGAGGCAAGCGGUACUCGAUGGGUAGGGGUAAAAUCCGUUGAUCCAUUGAAGACCACCAGUGGCGAAGGCGGCUUGCCAGAACGCGCUCGACGGUGAGGGAUGAAAGCUGGGGGAGCAA
rnacentral:rRNA from 1 species